GACGAACGCUGGCGGCGCGCUUAACACAUGCAAGUCGAGCGAAGCGGCGGACGGGUGAGUAACACGUGAGUAACCUGCCUUAGACAUUGGGAUAGCCUCGGGAAACCGGGAUUAAUACCAAAUGGUCUAAGAUGGACUUGUGUCCCAUUGGCUAGUUGGGAGGUAACGGACCACCAAGGCGACGAUGGGUAGCCGGCCUGGGAGGUGAAACGGCCACAUGGGAGCUAAGGAACGGGCCAAAUUCAACGGGAGGCAGCAGUGGGGAAUAUUGCACAAUGGGGGAAACCCUGAUGCAGCAACGCCGGGUGCGGGAUGACGGCCAUCGGGUUGGAAACCGCUUUCAGCCAUGACGCGGUAGUGGCAGAAGAAGCACCGGCUAACUACGUGCCAGCCGCCGCGGUAAUAC
rnacentral:rRNA from 1 species